GAACCACUUCCUAUGGGAGUUAUUGGUGUACGAAGUAAGAGACCUGGCCAAUUACAGUAUCGUCGUCAUCCUCCGCCUUCUUGUUCACCUGUUCCCCUCAUACAGUGUCUCACCUCUGUGUGUCUCUGAAAAGGGCAAAGGGGACAGGUGGCUUGGAAGAGACUGGUAUAAUGAGCGGUUGUAGAUAUGUUAUAGAGAGGAUGUAGAGAAGGUAUAGAGAAGUUGUAGAGAGGUUGUAGAUAUGUGAUAGAGAGGUUGUAGAUAUGUGAUAGAGAGGUUGUAGAUAUGUGAUAGAGAGGUUGUAGAUAUGUGAUAGAGAGGUUGUAGAUAUGUGAUAGAGAGGUUGUAGAUAUGUUAUAGAGAGGUUGAAGAGAAGUUGUAGAUAUGUGAUAGAGAGGUUGUAGAUAUGUGAUAGAGAGGUUGAAGAGAAGUUGUAGAUAUGUUAUAGAGAGGUUGUAGAUAUGUUAUAGAGAGGUUGUAGAUAUGUUAUAGAGAGGUUGUAGAUAUGUUAUAGAGAGGUUGUAGAUAUGUUAUAGAGAGGUUGUAGAUAUGUUAUAGAGAGGUUGUAGAUAUGUUAUAGAGAGGUUGUAGAUAUGUUAUAGAGAGGUUGUAGAUAUGUUAUAGAGAGGUUGUAGAUAUGUUAUAGAGAGGUUGUAGAUAUGUUAUAGAGAGGUUGUAGAUAUGUUAUAGAGGUUGUCUAUGUACAGGAAAAGGGCUAUUGUUCACACCACAUUGGUUGGUUCAGUUCCUGUGACUCCUCAGGAUUGGUUAUUUUUAUUGAUUUAUUUAUUUUACCUUUAUUUAACUAGGCAAGUCAGUUAAGAACAAAUUCUUAUUUUCAAUGACGGCCUAGGAACAGUGGGUUAACUGCCUGUUCAGGGGCAGAACGACAGAUUUGUACCUUGUCAGCUCUGGGAUUUGAACUUGCAACCUUUCAGUUACUAGUCCAACACUCCCACCACUAGGCUACGCUGCUCUGACUCCCUGGUAUUGUACAGUUAGUAUAUGUACGAGGUGUACUGUAUGUGUACAGUCAGUGGUUGUGUGGAAGGUCUAGUGUCGUACCUACACGGAGUUUACCAAACAUUAGGAACACCUUCCUAACAUUGAGUUGCAACCCCUCCAACAGCCACAAUUCAUCGGGGCGUGGACUCAACGGGGUGUCGAAAGCGUUCCACAUGGAUGCUGGCCCAUGUUGACACCAGUGCGUCCCACUGUUAUGUCAAGUUGGCUGGAUGUCCUUUGGGUGGCAGAGCAUUGUUGAUACACACGGGAAACUGUUGAGCGGGAAAAACCCAGCAGCGU